rnacentral:piRNA from 1 species
UUGGAGCAUAUGGUGAUAGCUUUGUCUCC